rnacentral:rRNA from 1 species
CCUACGGUGGGCAGCAGUCGAGAAUUAUUCACAAUGGGGGCAACCCUGAUGGUGCGACGCCGCGUGGGGGAAUGAAGGUCUUCGGAUUGUAAACCCCUGUCAUGUGGGAGCAAAUUAAAAAGAUAGUACCACAAGAGGAAGAGCCGGCUAACUCUGUGCCAGCAGCCGCGGUAAUACAGAGGUCGCAAGGGUUGUUAGGAAUCACUGGGAGUAAAGGGUGCGUAGGUGGGUUCGCAAGUCGUGUGUGAAAGGCGCGGGCUCAACCCGCGGACGGCAAAUGAGACUGCGGGACUAGAGUACUGGAGGGGGAACCGGAAUUCUCGGUGUAGCAGUGAAAUGCGUAGAUA